rnacentral:lncRNA from 1 species
AAAAUUGAAUUCUUCAAACCUUGCAUGCUAUAAUUGCGUUUACUGCUUAAGAAUUGCUGUUAUUUGGGUUUACUGCUUCAGAUUUACUUUGAUCUUUUCUUUGUUUUUACUUUUGUUUACCUUUUAUUUUAUAAUUAUGGUGUCUGUACUAUAUCCUAUCAACCCAAAAGUUAGCUUAUGAGGUGAGGAUUGCAAGCCAUAUAAGGAGACCAAGGACCUCAAAUCUCUGGAGCGUGGAUCGGUAACAAUAGUUGGGAUGAGCAUGGCUCUGAUACUAUGAUAAGAAUGGAUCUUGGGCCUAACUCAACCCCAAAAAUUAGCUUAUGAGGUGAGGAUUGCCCAAGCCAUAUAAGGAGACCAAGGACCUCAAAUCCCUUCGACGUGGGACAACUCAACAAAA